rnacentral:rRNA from 1 species
UACGUAGGGGGCUAGCGUUGUCCGGAUUUAUUGGGCGUAAAGAGCGUGUAGGCGGCCAGGUAGGUCUGCUGUGAAAACUUGAGGCUCAACCUCGAGACGUCGGCGGAAACCAUCUGGCUAGAGUCCGGAAGAGGAGAGUGGAAUUCCCGGUGUAGCGGUGAAAUGCGCAGAUAUCGGGAGGAACACCAGUGGCGAAGGCGGCUUCCUGGCCUGCAACUGACGCUGAGACGCGAAAGCGUGGGGAGCGAACCGG